ACGCUCAGUAACACGUAGCUAACCUACCCUCAGGACGUGGAUAACCCCGGGAAACUGGGGCUAAUCCGCGAUAGGUAUGAAGGCCUGGAAUGGUUUCAUGCCCAAUGGCACAGCAAUCAUGUUUGUUGUGUGCCUGAGGAUGGGGCUGCGGCUGAUCAGGCAGUUGGCGAGGUAACGGCUCACCAAACCUUUGACCAGUACGGGCCAUGAAAGUGGUAGCCCGGAGAUGGGCACUGAGACAGGGGCCCAGGCCCUACGGGGCGCAGCAGGCGCGAAAACUCCACACUGUACGAAAGUACGAUGGGGUUAUCUCGAGUGCAGUCCGAUAAGGGCUGCUUUUCCAUAGAGUAAUAUCCUGUGGGAAUAAGAGGGGGGCAAGACUGGUGUCAGCCGCCGCGGUAACACCAGCCCCUCGAGUGGUGGGGACUUUUAUUUGGCCUAAAGCGUCCGUAGCUGGCUGUAUCCGUCCCCCGUUAAAUCCAGCGUCCUAAACGUUGGACCGCGGGUGAUACCAUACAGCUAGAGGGUGGGAUAGGUGAGCGGUAUUUCUGGGGUAGGGGCGAAAUCCUUUGAUCCCAGGAGGACCACCAGUGGCGAAGGCUGCUUACUAGAACACGCCUGACGGUCAGGGACGAAAGCUGGGGCAGCGAACCGGAUUAGAUAUCCCGGGUAGUCCCAGCUGUAAACGAUGCUAGCUAGGUGUUGGGUCGGCCACGCGCCGCCCCAGUGCCGCAGGGAAGCCGUUAA
rnacentral:rRNA from 1 species